GUGACCGAUCCGUUGGGGCACAUAUUCAAAUUGGAUUGAUACUGAGAAGAUUAGCAUGGUCUUCCUGCACAUGGACCAGAAUGAUGUGCUCUCCCCACUAUAU
ensembl:snRNA U6 U6 spliceosomal RNA